rnacentral:lncRNA from 1 species
UCAGGUCAGGCUCCUGUCUUCCUGCUCACUGAAAUGCACCUUAUCAGAUCUCCCAGCAGCCAACUUCCCAGUCGCACCAGGACCACUCUGUUCAUCUUAUAUCCCAGGCAGCAUACAACACAGGAACACCCCCUAUUCUGGAAAGUUCUUGAAUGCUGAUUCCACAGGUCUUUUGUACAGGGUUUCUGUGUAGCCAUGACUGUCCUGGAACUUGCUUUGUGGAUGAAGCUGGCCUUGAAGUCAGAAAUCUGCCUGCCUAUGUCUCCUGAGUGCUGGGAUUAAAGGACUACCCCACCUAGAACUUAAUAAUCAACAUGUGCAUUGGCUACCAGGAAGGAUGUUAACAGAGUUAAAGUAAUGUAGUUCCUUACAUUUUAUCUGCAGACCCCAAAGGCUAUGUACAGAGCUGAAAAUGUGUGUGUGUGUGUGUGUGUGUGUGUGUGCAUGCGCGCACGUGUGCGCAUGCAAUGUAGCGGGACAUUUAUGUUUGGCAUGUAACUAUUGGCUGACCCACGCAUUUUUCUUCAGUUACUUUGGGCUCAUGAGAAUAAUUAAACACAGAAACCAGC